GAUGAACGCUGGCGGCGUGCCUAAUACAUGCAAGUCGAGCGAACAGACGAGGAGCUUGCUCCUCUGACGUUAGCGGCGGACGGGUGAGUAACACGUGGAUAACCUACCUAUAAGACUGGGAUAACUUCGGGAAACCGGAGCUAAUACCGGAUAAUAUAUUGAACCGCAUGGUUCAAUAGUGAAAGACGGUUUUGCUGUCACUUAUAGAUGGAUCCGCGCCGCAUUAGCUAGUUGGUAAGGUAACGGCUUACCAAGGCAACGAUGCGUAGCCGACCUGAGAGGGGGAUUCGCCAAACCGGAAAUGGGAAACGGGCCCGACCCCUAAGGGGGGCAGGAGGAGGGAAACUUCCCGAAAGGGGGAAAAGCUGAAGGAGGCACGCCGGGGGAGGGAAGAAGGGUUUCGGGUUGGAAAACCCUUUUAUUAGGGAAAAAAAAAAGUGUAAGGAAAUUUUCACGUCUUUACGGGAACUAAUCAGAAAGCCACGGCUAACUAAGUG
rnacentral:rRNA from 1 species